rnacentral:rRNA from 1 species
UACAGAGGUCCCAAGCGUUGUUCGGAUUCACUGGGCGUAAAGGGUGCGUAGGUGGUCGGGUAAGUCUGAUGUGAAAUCUCCGAGCUUAACUCGGAAACUGCAUCGGAUACUAUUCGGCUGGAGGGUUGGAGGGGGGACUGGAAUACUUGGUGUAGCAGUGAAAUGCGUAGAUAUCAAGUGGAACACCAGUGGCGAAGGCGAGUCUCUGGACAAUUCCUGACGCUGAGGCACGAAAGCCAGGGGAGCAAACGGG